GUGGGGAAUAUUGCGCAAUGGGCGAAAGCCUGACGCAGCGACGCCGCGUGAGGGAUGAAGGUUUUCGGAUCGUAAACCUCUGUCAGAAGGGAAGAAACUACAUUGUGCUAAUCAGCAGUGUACUGACGGUACCUUCAAAGGAAGCACCGGCUAACUCCGUGCCAGCAGCCGCGGUAAUACGGAGGGGGCUAGCGUUGUUCGGAAUUACUGGGCGUAAAGCGCACGUAGGCUGUAGUGUAAGUCAGGGGUGAAAUCCCACGGCUCAACCGUGGAACUGCCUUUGAUACUGCACAACUUGAAUCCGGGAGAGGGUGGCGGAAUUCCAGGUGUAGGAGUGAAAUCCGUAGAUAUCUGGAGGAACAUCAGUGGCGAAGGCGGCCACCUGGACCGGUAUUGACGCUGAGGUGCGAAAGCGUGGGGAGCAAACAGGAUUAGAUACCCGUGUAGUCC
rnacentral:rRNA from 1 species